GGAGCCGUGGCGGAGACGAGGCGGGACAGGGCGGGACCUUCUGCCAACGGCCGUCAAGUUCCAGACCUAGCUCAGGCUAAGAAGCUAAGCUAACAUGCUCACAGUAUUAAGCUAACAACCCAGCUUGCGGUCACUGCUCCUCGUUCCCGGCGUUCUGAAGCAUUAAGAAAAAAAGAUGGCAACCUCCUCCACAACCUUGACUGUAUGGAUAAUCGGAGACAGCUAUGUCCGGCGUGGAGCCCAGAGAGCUACAGAGACCAUCGGCAGCAACCUUGGCCUCGA